rnacentral:rRNA from 1 species
GGCUGUGUUUAUAGCGGCGAGGAAACACCCGUUCCCAUCCCGAACACGGAAGUUAAGCUCGCCAGCGGUGAUGGUACUGCACUUUUAAGUGUGGGAGAGUAGCACGACGCAGCCU